ensembl:lincRNA F40H3.6 ncRNA
ACCUCAAUCAAACGACGAUGGUAGGAAAGGAUGGAUGGAUGGAACAAUUGAAAGAGAAAAUCCAAGUUUAUGAUGUGAUGGAACAAAACUCUGUGCAAUGGAUGGGAGGGUCAGAACGAUCGGGAUGGUUCGGGAUGGGUCGGGAUAGAUCGGGAUGGAUCGGGAAUGGAUCGGGAUGGAUCGGGACGAGACGACGACGACGACGACGGAGGGUGGACGAAUGCUCCUUCUUGUGAGUGUAGCGUCCCCAUUGCAUAUACCUGGCUUGAACUGAACUGGUUCGCAUGAAUCUGUCACUGUCCAGUUUCUGAACCGGGUUCAAAAGUAACAGGCAAUGGCUGCAUUUUCGGUUUCACUACUACUCCCUGAGUUGAUUUGUUUGGAAACAAACAAAUCUUGUACCGUACUCAGAGGUAGUGAAACCGAUUAAUCUCUCAAUGGGAAAUGCGAACUCCUGCGAAAAUAAGAACAAGGAGACUGGAAAUAGCGUCAAACAGAGGAGGGCUUAUCGGACGGUUCUUGCCACAUAGGUAUAUUGUAAUGGGUGAUGUUGCACAGUUCUAACGGUACAGAACAUCACUUGAAGUGGCUGGAUGGAUGGACAAGACAACGACGACGACGACACAACGAUUGGGUGGAUUGGAUGGAUGGAUGGAUCGGGACGAUCAGGAUGGAAAGAUAAUAUAGUUUGAAGUUAAAUUGAUGUCAAGAUCGAAUACUUGGAUGGAUCAGGAUGGAUGGACGACGACGAUCGGGAUGGCACGUGGUGUGGUGGUGGCGUGGUGGGAUGGAAGAAAUCUAAUUCUAAUUAUAAUUAUUUUCUUCUAAUUAUUUUCUUUUUUCUAUUUUGAUGAUUUUUUUAAAUGUAAAUGUAAAUGUUUUAAAUGUAAUGUAAUAAAUUUAACGAAUUUGCUUGGAUUUCCUUGCUUGGAUGGCUUUUCAUGCCUUUUUUCCGGUUCUGCUCGAUUUUUUUUCUGAAAACGUCCGAAAAUUCCAAAAAUUUCAAAAUUUCGUGACAACUUCGUGACAACUUAGUGACAACAACUUUCGGAAUUUUGGAUGCUUCGAAAUUUCAGUUAAUAAUAACAAUAAAAAAAAAAAAAUAAUAAUAAUAAAAUAAUAAUAAUAAUAAUAAUAAAAAA